CUGGCGGCGUGACCUAACACAUGCAAGUCGAACGAAGUAUGUUUUCGAAAUAUACUUAGUGGCGGACGGGUGAGUAACGCGUGAACAAUCUGCCCUAUACAGAGGAAUAGCCUCGGGAAACCGGGAUUAAAACCGCAUGACACUUUAGUAUCGCAUGAUACAGAAGCUAAAUUGAAUUAGAGGUAUGGGAUGAGUUCGCGUCUGAUUAGCUAGUUGGUAGGGUAAAGGCCUACCAAGGCGACGAUCAGUAGCCGGCCUGAGAGGGUGGACGGCCACACUGGGACUGAGAACGGCCCAGACUCCUACGGGAGGCAGCAGUGGGGAAUAUUGCGCAAUGGGGGAAACCCUGACGCAGCGACGCCGCGUGAGCGAAGAAGGCCUUCGGGUUGUAAAGCUCUGUUGUAAGGGACGAAUGUCUAGGGUAGUAACUGACCUUAGAAUGACGGUACCUUACCAGCAAGCCCCGGCUAACUACGUGCCAGCAGCUGC
rnacentral:rRNA from 1 species